CCCAAAUCUCAUCUUGAAGCGUAAUCCCAUAAUCCCCACAUGUUGUGGGAGGAACCUGGUAGGAGGUCAUUGAAUCAUGGGUGAAGUUUUUUCCAUGCUGUUCUUACGAUAAUGAGUGAGUUCUCAUGAAAUCUGAUGGUUUUAUAAGUGUCUGGCAUUUCCCCUGCUGGCUCUCAUUCUCUCUCAUGCUGCCCUGUGAAGAGGUGCCUUCUGCCAUGAGUGUGUCCUGAGGCCUCUUCAGCCAUGUGGAACUGUGAAAAAACGCACUGCUUAUUUUCUUCAAGUCAAAAUGCCUUAAAGGAGCAGUAUCUUGAAUGUGACGUGGCAGACUCAAGGGGAUGCUCUUCAACAUAAAGCAUCAGAAGCCUGAGUAACAUUUUCUGAUCUUGACUCUACGUGACAAGUCGAAAAGAAUUUUUUUCAAUUUAGUUUUUACCAAGUCAGAUUCUAUUUGACAAUAUGGCAGCACUACACAUGGAAAGUAACUUAUUACUUUGGGCAUCUAGUUUAAAUAGAGACAAUCCAUAAUGUGCAUGUGAAAAAAAAUGGCCACUGUUCUUGAAGCAUUGCCCUUGAGCAAGCAACAAGUUUAAAUCUGUCAGUGUGGAAGAAAUUGUUUUUUCUUAAUUGCUUAAUUGUUAACCCUAGGAGAAAAUGACAAUAAAAUUCUACUUCAAAAUGUUUAUGUUUUUGGAAUUACAGAGACAAUAUUUAGAAGAAAAUCGAGUGGCCCUGUGCAGGAGAGGAAGGAAGAGAUUAGAAAUGAGAGAAGCCACCUUAUUUAAUGAAGACUAUAUAAUAAAGACUUCCCUGAUUCCAAACAUUUUGAAAGCCUUAAGGAAAUUUUCUAAUAGAUAUAGGAAAAGUAAUUACCAGUCCAUUAAGUGGCUUAAAUGGUCGACCAUCUUACUGCUGGAUUAGCAAACAAAUUUAGAAGUCAUCAAAAGCUACAAGAUUUUUUUCGUGUUCAUGAUCAUAAAAUACCUCUGUUUCUCUAGAUUCAUUGUGGUUUCAUUACAUUGUUCUUAAUUCAUCAUAUUUUUAAUUGCAUGCAUAUAUAGAUACUAUGUUUGCAUCUACAUAAUAGUGGAAUAUUAAUAAUGAGAAAUUUCAAGGAAAAAUGUUGUAUAAAGAGAUUUUUAUAAUUUUAGGUACAUGUAGAAACCAUAAGUGGAACACUGUAUUAACUGAAUAUCAUUGAGAAACUUCAAGCAAACAUGUUACUGAUAUAAAUUAAAGAAUAAUUGAAAAGGAAAAGACCUCCUUCCUUUUUUCCCCAAAAGGGCUUCUUCAGUCUGACGAUUGAUGGCUUACAACAAUUUUGGGAAAUCCUCAGCUAAUAACACACAUAGUAUCAUUUUUUCCUGUUUAUCCCUGUCCUCUGUCUCUGGAACUCCAGUUGCUAAUUAAAACUUCUGCAUAGGUCGCUUCCAAGAUGGACGAAUAGGAACAACUCCAACCUACAGCUCCCAGCGAGAUUGAUGCAGAAGAUGGGCGAUUUCUGCAUUUCCAACUGAGGUCUCUGAAGAAUCUCCAUACCAUCUUCCACAAUUGUUGAACUAAUUUACACUUCCAGUAACAAUGUGACAUGUUGAUGUCUUCAAGAGGCGGACUCCCAUGGCCUUGGUCAGCUCUGACCCUGUGGUUCUGCAGGGUACAGCCUCCCUCCCACUGCUUUCAUGACUGGCAUUAAGUAUCUCCAGCUUUUCCAGGAAUACAGUGCAAGCUGUUGAUAGAUCUACCGUUCUGCGGCCUGGAGAAUUAUGGCACUCUUCUCACAGCUCCACUAGGUUGUGCCCCAGUGGAGACUCUGUGUGUAGACUCUGACCCCACAUUUCCCUUCCACAUUGCCCUAGAAGAGGUUCUCCAUGAAGACUCUGCCCCUGCAGCAAACUACUUCCUAGACAUCCAGGCAUUUCCACACAUCCUUUGAAUUCUAGGCGGAGGUUCCCUAACCUUUAUUCUUGGCUUCUGUGCACUUGCAGGACCAACAACACAUGGAAGCUGCCAAGGCUUGGGGUUUACACCCUCUGAAGCAAUGGCCUGAGCUGCACCUUGGACCUUUUUAGCCAAAGCUGAAGCAGCUGAGAGGCAAGGCCCCAAGUCUCAGGCUUCACACAGUAGGGGGCACCUGGACCUAGCCCAGGAAACUAUUUUUCCCUUAAUGGCAUACCCUCCCAUCACAGGCCCAGAAGCCUAGGACAUAACCUGGAGGCAUUUUCCCCUUUGUCUUGGUGAUUAGAUGCAGCACCCCCAGGGGGAACUUUGCCCCUCCCAUUUGGGCACAACCACUGAAGACUUCCUCAUCUUUGCCACAUAAAAGCCCCAGAACACAGCCCCAUUUCUGGCAACCCUCUUUGGGUCCCCUCUCUUUGCUGAGAACUUUUCUGUUGCUUAAUAAAACUUUGCUCUACAUUAUUCCUUCUCUGGUGUCUGCGUGCUUUAUUCUUCUUGGUCAUGGGACAAGAACUUAGACCUAGUUGAACUGAGGAGCGAUUAGGCUGCAACACUAAUAUCAACCAAAAAAUUAGAGAACAAAGGGCAAACAGACCUCAAAGCUAGCAGAAGACAAGAAACAACCCAAAUCAGAGCAGAUCUGAAGGAGACGGAGACACAGUAAAACUACCCUAAGAACAAUGAAUCCAGGAGGUUGUUUUUUUAAAAAAUUAAUAAAAUAGCUCACCAGCUAGACUAAUAAAGAAGAAAAGAGAAG
rnacentral:lncRNA from 10 species